AUUGAACGCUGGCGGCAUGCCUUACGCAUGCAAGUCGAACGGCAGCGGACCUUCGGGUGCCGGCGAGUGGCGAACGGGUGAGUAAUGCAUCGGAACGUACCUUUCAGUGGGGGAUAACGUAGCGAAAGUUACGCUAAUACCGCAUAUUCUGUGAGCAGGAAAGCAGGGGAUCGCAAGACCUUGCGCUGAUUGAGCGGCCGAUGUCAGAUUAGCUAGUUGGUGAGGUAAAGGCUCACCAAGGCGACGAUCUGUAGCGGGUCUGAGAGGAUGAUCCGCCACACUGGAACUGAGACACGGUCCAGACUCCUACGGGAGGCAGCAGUGGGGAAUUUUGGACAAUGGGGGCAACCCUGAUCCAGCCAUGCCGCGUGAGUGAAGAAGGCCUUCGGGUUGUAAAGCUCUUUCGGCCGGGAAGAAAUCGUAUCAGCUAAUACCUGGUGCGGAUGACGGUACCGGCAUAAGAAGCACCGGCUAACUACGUGCCAGCCGCCGCCGUAACAC
rnacentral:rRNA from 1 species